rnacentral:rRNA from 1 species
AUUGAACGCUGGCGGCAGGCCUAACACAUGCAAGUCGAACGGUAACAGGAAGACGCUUGCUUCUUUGCUGACGAGUGGCGGACGGGUGAGUAAUGUCUGGGAAACUGCCUGAUGGAGGGGGAUAACUACUGGAAACGGUAGCUAAUACCGCAUAAUGUCGCAAGACCAAAGAGGGGGACCUUCGGGCCUCUUGCCAUCGGAUGUGCCCAGAUGGGAUUAGCUAGUAGGUGGGGUAACGGCUCACCUAGGCGACGAUCCCUAGCUGGUCUGAGAGGAUGACCAGCCACACUGGAACUGAGACACGGUCCAGACUCCUACGGGAGGCAGCAGUGGGGAAUAUUGCACAAUGGGCGCAAGCCUGAUGCAGCUAUGCCGCGUGUACGAAGAAGGCCUUCGGGUUGUAAAGUACUUUCAGCGGGGAGGAAGGGAGUAAAGUUAAUACCUUUGCUCAUUGACGUUACCCGCAGAAGAAGCACCGGCUAACUCCGUG